rnacentral:tmRNA from 6 species
GGGGAUGCUAACGAUCGACGGGAUUGUACCUUAAAAACUGCAAGCCAAGGUGAUUGACCUUGUAAAACCAAUCAAAAAAUAACUGUCGAUAAAACGGCAGAACUGGAAGCAUUUGUCGAGUACGGCGAGAGUCUUCUUGCCAAAGCUCGGGAAGCAGCUUUCGGUGCCCAAAACUUCGCAUUCGCGACAGUCUAAGGCCAUCAACUCCGUCUUUCUUCGGUGGGACAUGAGAUUGGUGUAAAUACAGCCGAGGUGCUCUCCGGUAGGUGACUGCCAUCGGGGAAAAGAUUCAGUCUUACUUACGUUAUAAAUUGUCUGUUGAUAUUGUAACGUGAGGAAUUACCCACCUUCGCGUAAAGCUUCGGUGGGCAAGCAACAGACUAAGCUUGUAGAUGUUUCUAAGUUGCGUCUUCGGACUCCGCGUCACCCGCGGACAUCUCCACAC